rnacentral:rRNA from 1 species
AAGCGGAGGAAAAGAAACUAACCAGGAUUCUCCUAGUAACGGCGAGUGAACGGAGAUUAGCCCAUCACCGAAGUCUAUUCACUUUUGUGGACAGGACAAUGUGGUGUUCAGGUUUGUAUCUGGGAGUGCUUGCCUACUCGAAGUCCAACUCCGAUUAUGGCUAGGACCAUGCCCAGAGCGGGUGAAAGGCCCGUUCGGGUAGGUUUUGUUGUUUUGAAGCGCUCCUCAGAAAUACAUUCCUUCGAGUCGGAUUGCUUGAGAAUGCAGUCCAAAGUGGGUGGUAAACUCCAUCCAAGGCUAAAUACUGGCACGAGUCCGAUAGUAGACAAGUACCGUGAGGGAAAGUUGAAAAGUACUCUGAAGAGAGAGUAAAUAGCACGUGAAGCCGCUUGCAGGGAAGCUGGUGGAGUCAAGCUUCUUGUCUGGGGAAUUGUCACCAGGAGACUUUUGUUGUUGGGACGUGGCGUGUUCGAGCCUGGAAAGGGUUUGGUGCAUUUCGGUGCGCUUCAAGUCAUUCCGGGUAGUGUGUUUGGGGACACGCCUAUCUCCUACUCCUGGUGGUGUAUUUCCUGUGACAUACAUCACGAUCAAUAAUGGUACGUACUGUGUGAUUGCUUAACUGUGCUUUGGCGGGCAUCCGUGUCUGCCGGGCAUGGAAUGGCAGGUAGCUUGUGCAGGCCUUGUGCUUGUAUCUUGCUUAUAGUGGUUUUGACCUGCUAGCGAUCAUGUUUGCAUUUAUCAGUAUCGUCCUUAUUGUUCCCAUGCGGUGUCCUCUCCUCGGAGUGGAUGCUAAUGAGAAUCGUGAUGCUGUGGUAGACCUUCCACCCGACC